rnacentral:rRNA from 1 species
AGUGAACGCUGGCGGUAGGCCUAACACAUGCAAGUCGAACGGCAGCACAGUAAGGGCUUGCUCUUACGGGUGGCGAGUGGCGGACGGGUGAGGAAUACAUCGGGAUCUACUUUUUCGUGGGGGAUAACGUAGGGAAACUUACGCUAAUACCGCAUACGACCUACGGGUGAAAGCAGGGGAUCUUCGGACCUUGCGCGAUUGGAUGAGCCGAUGUCGGAUUAGCUAGUUGGCGGGGUAAAGGCCCACCAAGGCGACGAUCCGUAGCUGGUCUGAGAGGAUGAUCAGCCACACUGGAACUGAGACACGGUCCAGACUCCUACGGGAGGCAGCAGUGGGGAAUAUUGGACAAUGGGCGCAAGCCUGAUCCAGCCAUACCGCGUGGGUGAAGAAGGCCUUCGGGUUGUAAAGCCCUUUUGUUGGGAAAGAAAAGCAGCAGGUUAAUACCCCGCUGUUCUGACGGUACCCAAAGAAUAAGCACCGGCUAACUUCGUG